UAAGCUCGGUUCAGAGUCAUGCGCGACAAAAUAAAAGGGACACUCGCUGUCCAGAAUGGGAGAAAAGAAACAAAAACAUCUAUCUGAACCUGACUACUCUACACUAUCCUACCUCUUCGCUCACAUGAAGAUCCCCUCUUUGUGUCUAUGCUCUUUGCACAUGGUUGCAUGUAUGUAUGUGUGUGUCUGUGUGUGUGUGAACAGUGCAGGUGUGUGUCUGAGCAAACAAACCCAGAAAAUAUUGUCCACCCGCUGGACGAGCAGAGCAGGUGGCUCCGUCCCGGCAGUGACCGGCCGGUAAAAAGCAAGUCCUUGGUACACCAACAAUUGGGAAAGCUCUUUAUUGGUCAUCAUUGUUUAAAAUGCAACAUCGUAUUAAGGGUUACAUGCUUUUACAUGUCACACACAACAAAGUGUAUCGAAUUAUACGUCUAUAGUUUUAAGUAUAGAUUUGUUGAGGAAUCAAAUAUGCAUAGACAAAAGCCAAAAGAAAAUAAAAGAAAAUAGACAACAAAUCAUAAUAAUAAUAAUAAUAAUAAUAAUAAUAAUAAUAAUUGUAUUUACGUGAAAAGGGAAAAAAAGCUU